rnacentral:rRNA from 1 species
UACGGAGGAUGCAAGCGUUAUCCGGAAUUAUUGGGCGUAAAGCGUCCGCAGGUGGUACAUCAAGUCUGCUGUCAAAGACCGGAGCUCAACUCCGGGCAGGCAGUGGAAACUGGUGAACUAGAGUACGGUAGGGGUAGAGGGAAUUCCCAGUGUAGCGGUGAAAUGCGUAGAGAUUGGGAAGAACACCAGUGGCGAAGGCGAUCUACUGGGCCGUAACUGACACUCAGGGACGAAAGCUAGGGGAGCGAAAGGG